rnacentral:misc_RNA from 1 species
GGAACUUCAAUGGGCUGGUUAAGCUCCCCUGGCUUGAUAUCUUCCAGAGGCGCUUGAUCUUUCUUCAAUUUCACAUACCGAGAAGGCGCAGCCCCAUCCCCCAUCCCAGCAAGAAAAUCAAGCUGCCCGACAAAGAUUCAGCUGAAAUGCUUCGCUUAGUUGUGGAAGAUCUGAUUUCCCCCCAAGAUUAGUGACGUUGAAGAAGA